CCGAGUUGUAAUUUAGAGAAGUGUUACCCGUGCUGGACUAUGUAAAAGUCUUCUGGAAUGAAGCAUCAUGGAGGGUGAGAAUCCCGUCUUUGACAUAGACUACCAGUACAUUGUGGUAUGCUCUCAAC
rnacentral:rRNA from 1 species